CUCAUGGUGGCCAAACCGGAAGUGCCACGGUGGGACUUCCAGUUACGCUUUUGCUGCAUCAAUCGGCAGGGGGUACAUAAGGUACCAAAGGUUGAGAACCACUGAUUUAGUCCAACCCCCCCUGCUCAAGACAGGACCAUCCCCAACUAGAUCAUCCCAGCAAGAGCCUUGUCAAGCCGUGCCUUAAAGAUCUCCAAGGAUGGAGAUUCCACCACCUCUCUAGGUAACCUGUUCCAGUGCUUCACCACCCUCCUAGUGAAAAAGUUUUUCCUAAUAUCCAACCUAAACUUCCCUUGCUGCAACUUCAGACCAUUGCUCCUUGUUAUAUCAUCUCCCACCACUGAGAACAGUCUAGCUCCAUCCUCUUUGGAACCCCUCUUCAGGUGGUUAAAGGCUGCUAAAGGCUACAUCAGUUUCACUUUGUUAAUUGCUAACAUCAUGAGUGUCAAACAUAUGAUACAUGAAACUGCUCCAUCUAGACUGCUGGGCUACUGGUGGCCCAGGGAAGUUGGGGCAAUGGCCAGUGGGGGAUAGAAUCUGCAGCCCUAUGGCUCCAUUAGCUAUGGUCCUCAGCAUCAGAAAAUCAGCUAGGGCUGUGCUAACAUAGCCCUCCUUGCCCCAUGGCUGCUGGUUCUGCACGCUGCUGCCUCUACCACCGCUGCCAUGUGUCCUGUGGAUCUGGCUUGCAAAGAGCACUGGGAUCUAGAUCUAGCCUGGGACACAAGAUGAGUUUGACACCCCUGGCUUAAGUGAUAAGUGAUAACAAACACUGCUUAUCUGUGUAACAGUUUAAGGCAUAACGUAACUUUUUAAGUGCUUAAGCUUCCUUUUGCCACCCACUGUUUACUUCAUAAUGUGAUUGUAUGCCCUUUAAAUGUAGGAGGAGCCCUCGAUUUCAAGGCUUCUUAAACACCCCAAACUGCUUAGGUCCUGUCAAUUUUAAGACUGCUACUAGAGGCAUAAGGUUUCUGAGAAACAAGGUAACAGCAUUAAUGACGCGUGAAAAGCUUAAAACAUGAUUUUUCUGUGGUUAAUGGCACUUGUUUAUACUGAAUCUGGGUAAGUGCGUAGUCUUUUCUCGGUCUGGAGGCUGUGCACUUACCCAUGUAGCUUUUAAAAGAAGUGCAUGUUGCACAGAGCUGAUCAGUCACAAGAUACUGAAUGGAAGCAGACCUCAGACUCUGGCUCUGAGUGAUCUCUGAACAACACAACUAAGGCUUGAUAAUCCAAUUAGAUCCUGCAUCUUCCUUUUUUUACCUUCCUGGUUGCUUUUUUCCCCCUCAUAUUAAGUCACACUAUGCUAGCCCUUUCCCCAUAGUUAUUCAAACAUAAGAUGACAAGUUUUACCCAUUACCACCAUCAUUUACUGGUAUACUCUACUCCUAACCUUGUCUUGUUUCCUAGGUGGCAAGUCCUUUGGAGCAGGGACCUUGUGUACCUUUAUAUUUAUGCAGCAUUUAACACAACAGAUAUCUAAUUUGAACCACAGCCUUUGGUCAUUACAGGCAGUCCUAGAUUUAAGAUGUUUUGAGUUCCAAUGAACAGCACUUACGACAUUUAUAAAUUGACACCCUGUCUCGACUUUCUGACAUCAGUUUCAACUUUACAAUGCUUGAUUUGAUGCCACACCAAGCCAGCAAACAAGUUCACAGCGUCACCCAUGUCCCUGGAGAACAUCUGUCCAAACUUCCGUGGAUACUUUCUUUAAGAACGCAGACAAGACUCCCAAAAAACCUGCAGCCAAGACUCCUGAGAAGACUCCAGCAAGAACCCUUCAAAAAGUCCAACCAAGAGCCCUUCAAAAAGUCCAGCAAAGUCACCCCAAAGAAAUCCUUCCAAAUCAAUAUGAUUGCUAUUUACAAUAUAAAUAUAUGAAUGUAGCUAUAUUACUCAUCUAUAAUUGAUCAAGUACAAAAUUCUGGGUGGUUUUUUUGUGAAAAUAGGGUAUCAGGCCUAGGUUCAGGAGUCAAUCCCCCAUUUUUAACAUUAUUCCUAUGGGGGAAAUUGGUUCCGAGUUACAACAUUUCUACUUAAGUCGUGGUUUUCAGGAACCAGUUGUGUCGUAAGUCCAAGGACUGCCUGUGCUACAAUUUCAUUACUUAUUAGUCUUACUCUCCCCAUCGAAACCAUUCUAUACAAAUCCAUUGUCUAACUUCCUAGCAAAACUACACAGUCAACCCUGAUACAACACGAGACACAACAUCCUAAUCUGCCACAGGUAAAGCAGGGGGAUCAUGAUGACCCACAUCCUCCUCUUGCAAAGGUUAAAAUGUGCUUGAGGGCUGUAUCCAACCAAAGAGAAAGGUAAACCUCACCACAAUCUAUAUUAAUUGGACAUGGAUAAAAUUCGUUCUGGAUCCCAAAUAUGGAAAUCAGUUUGACCCUGAGGAGAGAGGCAAGAACCUCUAGCCAGGAACCUCUGGGUUCAAGUCCCUCCAAGCAUGCUGGAAAACCCCAGUCACAAUCCACAGCCUUGGCUGCAACCAAUGGCCAAUAUUUCUGAGGAAAAUAUAACAGCAGGUGGGGGGAAAAAUCCCCUCCUGGCCCCAUGCAGCAAUCAGCAAAGACCAGAAGCAUGGGAUAUACCCAUAGUAGAAUAUAGGCAUAGCCAUGCCUAGGUCAUCCUCAACCAAUGCCUGUCCAACCUCUUCUUGAAGACCCCAGUGAUGGAGAUUCCACAACUACCCUAGGCAGUCUAUUCCACUGUCUCAUGUUCUAACAGCAAAGAAACAUUUCCUGAUAUCCAAUCUAAACCUACUGUAAUGUGAUGUAACGUUGCAGAAGCCUACCAUGGGUUGAGCAGUGAAGCUAAGUGGAAUUGCAAAUGCUUGAUUGGGGCCCUCAGAACAGCUUUGAAAUCAGAGGCAGGUCCUGGCUAGGCCAAUUGGGCUCUCUUUCACUGUAAGAAGACAUCAGCUGAGUCAGCAUGAGAGUUUGGCCCAGCUCUAAGAAAAUUAGCCAUAAAAGCCUGCCUGCAAGCCAGCCCUGAGGUACAGGAUAUGCUGGCCCAUGAUCAUUUUCUCAACAGUGACUUCAGUGGGAAGGCAUAUGCUCAACUUUGUCUGGGAAAGCCCCAGACUCAGGAUGAGGCUGUAAAGCAAGUGGGCCUGAUAGACAGACAUCAGUAGUGCACUACAGGAGACCCUCGCCAUUCAUGGGUGAUAUGUUUUAGAGAUCCCCACAAAUAGGGAAAUCCGUGAAUACUGUACUGCAUUAUCUGGGUUGAAAACUUGUUUGGGCUUGUAACCCUUUUCCUGGAUGAUUUUAAGAAGCUGUGGGGGAUAAUCCCGCGCUGCUUCAUGGUCUCUUGAUGCCAAUUCCACCAUCAACUUCACAUUAUGUAGGCUGUGCCUCUUUUUAAAUUUCUCAAACCAUUCCUUACUUGUGGAACACAGUAACAAAGUGUCUUCAUGCUGCGUGGGGAGAGAGCACGGGUUGAUGCAGCGCACCGCGAAUAUUCAAAACCGCGAAUCGCAAAUCUGCGAAUAGCGAGGGUUUCCUCUAUAAUGGAAUGAAACUGCAUAUGUGCAUAAGGAACAGAGACCCGAGUGUGACAAGGGAACUAGGGAGGCCUGUCCAUCAACCACCAUAAUGUCUCCAGGGACUGUACCACCAAACUGGCAUCAGUACAGUCCCAAAUAGGCCCAACAAGAUGCUGCCAGAAGUCGCUUAUAAAUCCAGAGAUGUAGAGUGGGACCCAUGGCCCGACACAGAUGGAGCUAGUAAGAAUGGAUGAGUCCAGGAGGUGAGACCAGGGAUGAGUAUACUGGAGAGUUCCCAACACCUACCCAACCUGAGGGAGGAGCCCAAUCCUGAGUCCACAGGUAGGCCACAGAGGGGGUGGAAAUCUCCCAAAUGUUUUAGUAUUUAUGUGAAUUGGGAUGGAUGCAGGGGCACAUCUAGUUAAAAGUGGGGUUGAUGUAAUGGACUGUAACAUUGUGGCAGGAACUACCAUUCCCAGCAGGCUGCUGAGGAAAGAGGAAGAGGAGGGUAGAGUCGGGAUUCAGGUAAUGGCUCAGCAGAGAGAGAGAAGCAGCAGCUGGUGAGAUGCAUGCUGAGACCCAGGAGCUGCAGCAGGACUGACUCUGCAAGCCACAGCAGUAGGGCUUAGAUGAGGAGCCCAGUCUCCUUAGCCCAUUGGCCUGUCACCCGAUCCCUCCAGACUCCCCCAUAUAAAUUUGAGGACCCUACUUUUGGCUCUUGUGCAGUUUUGGGGGUUCAGUACGCUACUUUGUUUCAACUUCAAGCCAUUGAUUUGUGCCCUACUAUCUGCUGCAGGAGAAGAACCAGCCUUUCAGGAUGGGAACUCCUUGCCUUCCCAAAAGGAGUACUUCGGGGGACAAGAUGCCUACAAAUGGACCUUGUGACAGGUAUCCGCUCUGGACCGAUUUAAAUGUGGCCCGCACACCUGUUCCUGGGGCAACCGCCUGCCUUCUCUCCUGCCAUGCCUUGCUGUUAAUUGAUGUUGAUUAACAGGAGGCUGCCCUUGUACUGCCCCGAUGCCAGGGGGCGCUAUCUGUGGCUCCGUUUCCUCCCCUACACUGCAGCCCAUGCCUCACCAAUAGAAUAGACAUUGUUAUGUCCUAGGCUUAUUAUAAUUUGGCCCCUUGUCCUCUCUGGGCCCUACCUCUUGAUCUGCACCCUCUCUGGUGCUAGGGCUCUCCCUGGGCCCAUCUCAUUAUGUGCCCCCCCUCUCAGGGCCUUCACAGUAACGCUGCCCCCACCCCCCUCUCAGGGUGUCUCAUCCAUCCCCUUUUCUGGGGUUGGGGUCAGUGCACCCCAACUGCUGCACCCUCACUGGUGCUAGGGCCCCCACACUGCUGUGGGUCCCCUAUGAGGCCUCCUCCAACCCCUAAUAGCCUCACCCAAACCACUGGUAACAAACAGCAACACAAACGUAAGCCCCUUGGCUGUAACAUAAAUGGAAACCACCCAGCCAUAACAACAGUCCAGCCUACCAGGGAAUACUCCAUUCCUCAGCUGUCAGACACUGCACCUUCAGUCAGGCUGCUCUUCUUUUCCAUGAGAGAGAGCUCCUUCCUCCUUGGCUACUGGCAGGGAACUGCCUCUCACCCCAGCCCCUAGGGUUUAUAAGGGAGCCAGGCCCUGCCCCUUCUGGUCAGCUGGCCUCCUCUGGUUGCCCUGGCAACCAACAGCUGGGCUCCUUAUUCCCUGCUAGGGCUUCCUCCCUAGCAGUUUCUCCUCUUCAGGAGCAGGGCACCUCAGUGCUCAGCAACAGACCUCCAGUAACUUCCUAGGUAUUAAGGUGAAAUUAACCGGUCUGUAGUUCCCCAGGUCCUCCUUUUUGCCUUUUUAAAAUAGAGGCACUAUGGUGGCCCUUUUCCAGACUGAGGAUAGGUAUACAAGAUCAGAGUGAAGAUUGUGUAUGGAAAGCAACUUUAACAGUCUUCACUAAUAAAUUAUGUCUUGUUAACUUUUUACCACAAUGUUCUAGUAAGCUGUUUCACAUUAAAACUAUAUUAAUUUAUUA